rnacentral:rRNA from 1 species
AUUGAACGCUGGCGGCAGGCCUAACACAUGCAAGUCGAACGGUAACAGGAAGAAGCUUGCUUCUUUGCUGACGAGUGGCGGACGGGUGAGUAAUGUCUGUGAAACUGCCUGAUGGAGGGGGAUAACUACUGGAAACGGUAGCUAAUACCGCAUAACGUCGCAAGACCAAAGAGCAGGACCUUCUGGCCCCUUGCCAUCGUAUGUGCCUAGAUGGGGGUAGCUAGUGGGUGGGGGAACGGCCCACCAAGGCGACGAUCCCUAGCUGGUGUGAGAGGAGGACCAGCCACACUGGGACAGAGACACAGGCCAGACACCUCCGGGGGGGGGCAGUGGGGAAAAUUGGACAAUGGGCGCAAGCCUCAUCCAGCCAUACCGCGUGGGUGAAGAAGGGCUUCGGGUUUUAAAGCCCUUUUGUUGGGGGAGAAAAGGAGGAGAAUUAAACCCCUCUGUUCUGACGGUUCCCAAAGAAAAAGCACCGGCUAAAUUCGUG